AACGAACGCUGGCGGCAGGCUUAACACAUGCAAGUCGAACGCCCCGCAAGGGGAGUGGCAGACGGGUGAGUAACGCGUGGGAACAUACCCUUUCCUGCGGAAUAGCUCCGGGAAACUGGAAUUAAUACCGCAUACGCCCUACGGGGGAAAGAUUUAUCGGGGAAGGAUUGGCCCGCGUUGGAUUAGCUAGUUGGUGGGGUAAAGGCCUACCAAGGCGACGAUCCAUAGCUGGUCUGAGAGGAUGAUCAGCCACAUUGGGACUGAGACACGGCCCAAACUCCUACGGGAGGCAGCAGUGGGGAAUAUUGGACAAUGGGCGCAAGCCUGAUCCAGCCAUGCCGCGUGAGUGAUGAAGGCCUUAGGGUUGUAAAGCUCUUUCACCGAUGAAGAUAAUGACGGUAGUCGGAGAAGAAGCCCCGGCUAACUUCGUGCCAGCAGCCGCCGUAACAC
rnacentral:rRNA from 1 species